rnacentral:rRNA from 1 species
GUGGGGUAGUGGCCUACCAAGGCGACGACGGGUAGCCGGCCUGAGAGGGUGACCGGCCACACUGGGACUGAGACACGGCCCAGACUCCUACGGGAGGCAGCAGUGGGGAAUAUUGCGCAAUGGGCGAAAGCCUGACGCAGCGACGCCGCGUGAGGGAUGACGGCCUUCGGGUUGUAAACCUCUUUCAGUAGGGACGAAGCGCAAGUGACGGUACCUACAGAAGAAGCACCGGCCAACUACGUGCCAGCAGCCGCGGUAAUACGUAGGGUGCAAGCGUUGUCCGGAAUUAUUGGGCGUAAAGAGCUCGUAGGCGGUCUGUCGCGUCGGCUGUGAAAACCCGAGGCUCAACCUCGGGCCUGCAGUCGAUACGGGCAGACUGGAGUACUGCAGGGGAGACUGGAAUUCCUGGUGUAGCGGUGAAAUGCGCAGAUAUCAGGAGGAACACCGGUGGCGAAGGCGGGUCUCUGGGCAGUUACUGACGCUGAGGAGCGAAAGCGUGGGGAGCGAACAGGAUUAGAUACCCUGGUAGUCCACGCCGUAAACGUUGGGCGCUAGGUGUGGGGGCCAUUCCACGGUCUCCGUGCCGCAGCUAACGCAUUAAGCG